UCGUUCGCACAUGGACCUGAACGCAAAGGGAUCACUUGAAGCAGUCCGAAAAUAGCGUUGAGCUGACAAGACCACGCUCCCCCAGCCAGCAGCCGCAGCUCAGAUCCCGCCCUCCCAAGAUCUCAUGGACGAGCUGAGGGCACGCACCGCUCUCUUUUCAAAAUGGAUCUUGCGUGUGAUCAAUUGGAAAGAGUCUUUGCGGUGCAAUUAUCCUAAGCCGGUUCGUUCGCAAAGGAGACAAGAGUUCUUCUGUUUACUGGGAGCUUAGCUUCCUUUUACAUCACAGCCAUACCGUCGAACUGGUAGAACUGGUGAGCCAAACGAAACUGUUUGUUCCGGGAUUUUGUUGGACUGCCUCAACCAUAAUUCAUGUACAUGCCAUUCCAUUUCACUUUCCUACGAAGUAGACUGGGCUGGCCGUUCUGGAGCCCAGCAGUCAUCGGGCAGCAGAUGGGGAAUAAGAUUGACAAACUGCACGUGUCUUGUCCGUUGAGCCAUCUUUUCUCUGGAAUCCAAAGUGCUUCCAAACGAAUGACUUAAAGCCUAGAGGGGAGCCAAUUUCCUCGUCUUUUUGGACACGAGCCAGAGCACCAGCCCAGGAGCCGCGUACUAGUUGUCGCCUCCCCUUCCUUUCACGUGCCUGCUCUGCUCACAACGCAACACGCCGCUCACUGCUCCCGGAAAGAGGAAGCAAGCAACAAUGGACUGGAUUUCAAAAUAAAGUCGCGUCUAAUGUCCGAGGUCAAAAAGGGGCGAUAUAGAUCGAUGUUUACGUUUAGCAUUGAUGCCAAUAAAUCGUAGAGCAUUAUAUUGAUUAAUCGAUGUGUAUCGAUGAAUCGUUACACCCCUAGUAAGUAAGUAAGUAAAUAAAUAUGAACGAAUGAAUAAAUGAAUAAACGGCCAAAAACUCACAAAUGUCAGUGCACAUAAGUUUUUGUCAUUGUCCACGUUUUGUUCGGCCAAUAACUGCUACUGCUACCCAUGCAGACACCAUGUCAUUUGUAUCAUCGUACACUAAUGAAGAAAAAACAGGUCUAUCUCGUCACCCUAGUAGGUUUACAAAACAUACACAUCAAAUACAAAAGUCAACCAUCCAUCCAUCCAUACGUACCACUUUGGCCUGCGGGUGAUCAAACUUGACUCGAACGACUUCAGUUCUCCGCGCGGUAACUCGUACGAGGUCAGGCUUAAUUCUAUCUAUCACGUUGAUUGAUAUCCCAUAGCAAUUCUUCAGGGCGUGCCCUCGAAGUUAGACUUCGGCGGCUCCUGGGCUGGUGCUAUGGCUCGUGUCCAAAAAGACGAGGAAAUUGGCUCCCCUUUAGGCUUCAAGUCAUUCUUUGGAAGCACUUUGGAUUCCAAAGAAAAGAUGGCUCAACGGACAAGACACGUGCAGUUUGUCAAUCCUGCCAUGCGGUGAUCAAAUAUUCAGGGAGCACAAAUCUCGCCGCACAUUUAAAGAAAAAAACACGACAUCAAAGUUCAGUGUUGAAAUAAGCACUUUGUAUACUACAAUACUCUUGUCAUUUCCUAAAUAAAGAGUUUGCAGUACCUUGUUGAUUUUGCGUGUGAAUUGUUAUAAAUCAGGAGAUUGUUCGAUAUUUUUUAUUUAAAAAUAAAUAAAUAAAUAAAAAUAUCGAUCGUGGAGCACUAUAUCGCGAUGUAUCGUGAAUGAAUCGCAGCUUGCUUUAAGAUAUCGGCAAAUAUCGUAUCGUAGUUCUUUGUAUCGAUAUGAUAUCGUAUCGUGACAAAACCCGCCAUUUACACCCCUAAUGUUUACGUUUAGCAUCGAUGCCAAAAAAUCGUAGAGCCUUAUAUCGAUUAAUCGAUGUGUAUCGAUUAAUCGAUGUGUAUCGAUGAAUCGUUACACCCCUAGUAAGUAAGUAAGUAAGUAAGUAAAUAAAUACUACAUAUGAACGAAUGAAUAAAUGAAUAAAUAAAUACAGUAUAAAUGAAUAAACGGCCAAAAACUCACAAAUGUCAGGGCACCUAAGUUUUUGUCAUUGUACACGUUUUGUUCGGCCAAUAACUGCUACUGCUACCCAUGCAGACACCAUGUCAUUUGUAUCAUCGUACACUAAUGAAGAAAAAACAGGUCUAUCUCGUCACCCUAGUAGGUUUACAAAACAUACACAUCAAAUACAAAAGUCAACCAUCCAUCCAUCCAUACGUACCACUUUGGCCUGCGAGUGAUCAAACUUGACUUGAACGACUUCAGUUCUCCGCGCGGUAACUCGUACGAGGUCAGGCUUAAUUCUAUCUAUCACGUUGAUUGAUAUCCCAUAGCAAUUCUUCAGGGCGUGCCCUCGAAGUUAGACUUCGGCGGCUCCUGGGCUGGUGCUAUGGCUCGUGUCCAAAAAGACGAGGAAAUUGGCUCCACUUUAGGCUUCAAGUCAUUCUUUGGAAGCACUUUGGAUUCCAAAGAAAAGAUGACUUAAUGGACAAGACACGUGCAGUUUGUCAAUCCUGCCAUGCGGUGAUCAAAUCUUCAGGGAGCACAAAUCUCGCCGCACAUUUAAAGAAAAAACACCACAUCAAAGUUCAGUGUUAAAAUAAGCACUUUGUAUACUACAAUACUCUUGUCAUUUCCUAAAUAAAGAGUUUGCAGUACCUUGUUGAUUUUGCGUAUGAAUUGUUAAAAAUCAGGAGAUUGUUCUAUAUUUUUUAUUUUAAAAAAAUAUAUAUACGUAUCGAUCGUAGAGCACUAUCUAUAGUGAUGUAUCGUGAAUGAAUCACAGCAGGGUUUAAGAUAUCGGCAAAUAUCGUAUCGUGGUUCUUUGUAUCGGUAUGAUAUCGUAUCGUGACAAAACCCGCCAUUUACACCCCUAAUCUUCAUCCAUAAGCACAUCGGUCUUUCCUUGUUAAAACACACAAAGAAACAAACAAAAACAUGGUAAGUGGUGAGAACAAAGUUUGCAUCGUCAGGGAUCAUGAAUAAAUUGAUGAUGUCACAGCCCAAAGCUCACAUCAUUCCGUACAAAAUGACAAAACUGAAAGAAUGACGACCGGAUGAGGUGCGACAGAAUAUUUCAAACGCGUUGGGAAAAUGAGUAUUUCUUCAAAGAAAUCAACAGAAAGUGUGUCUGUUUGAUUUGUAAUGAAGAUGUUGCUGUGAUGAAAGAGUAUAAUGUCCGCGCAUUUACUCCCGGGAGCCGUGUCAGAAAGCUCGGUGCACACUCACAAGUGCGUGUGCGUACUCAGUAGUAAGUAGUAAUUUCAUCUAUCAGUGCCGAAUUUCGAGUGUCGGCUGUGACGUCAAUAUUCUCGUAAUUCGCGCGCUGAGUUUUCAGAUACAGUUUUACGCUAAUGCCACCCACAAACCUUCCCCUGGAAUCCUUCCAUUAAAAUGAGUGGGCCGAAGAAAAGAAAGGUGCACACUGAGUGCCGAAUGUUAAAAAAGAGUGGACAAUUUGGCUCGACCUAGUAGGUGUGUGAGAAGACGUUCAGCCACAUGAACGUCAACAAAGCCCGUCGCAGAUCUAGGUUAAUGGACCGACACCUCCGCUCUAUCCUAAGAAUUACCACAACAAAUUUUACUCCAGACUAUGACGCACUAGCAAAGAAGGGAAACCAACCAUACUAUUGAUUCCUUUAUUUCGAUGUAUUCUUUCACUGAUUCUUCAAGAUGAUGAAUUUGGUCAGAAUGUUUGCCGUUGGAUGUGAUUUCGCCUCAUUAGAUAAACAUAUUUCAUAAAUCUGACCUGUAGGCGCUGAAGUGAUGGAAAAUGUUAUUCAUCAUAACAGUGUCGUAUUUAAUAAGAAUCACUGAUAGUAGUUUUUUGGUGAAAUAUGUUUUUAAUGCUGUUAAUAAAUGCAUUUGUUUUCAAAAAGCUUUUUUGUAAUAAUCAUGCUUUAGUAUCUACUAAAAGUAAAAACCUUUUAUGAAAUGACCUUUACAUGUCAUUUAUAUUACUUCACACAAACACUACAUCCAUCUGCUCCUGGUUCGGCCCCCCGGUCAAAAUUUAGAACCCAAUUCGGCCCGCAAGUCAAAAAGUUUGCCCACCCCUGCCUUACACGUAUGGAUAUUAUCCGUAUUUUCUUCCGAAGCAAUUCUGUCUUUCGUGACUAAGGCGCCUCGAUAUUGAACCUCUCCUUGAACCUGCGUCUCGUGUAAUGAGCUGAUACAUUGGUCCUUCAGUGGUAACAAUUCACAUUUCUUUCAAUUUAACUGGAGUC